AGCUGCUGGGAAACACAACCCCCAGGACACAAGAAACAAGCCAACAACCAGGGAGCCCCGAGCUCAGCACUGCCAGUUCACCCUGGGACCUCAACAGACUCCUAGCGCAGAGCCAGCCCCUGACAUAGCCAUCAUCAUCAUCUACUUUGGACCUCUAAGGGGGACUGGGCAAGUUUUACAGCUGUCAGCUGGGAGAUGUUUCCAGUUGGUGGCUCAUUUGAGACAUUAACCAAAGCCAAAGAUCUAAAAAUCCACAUACUUCAAAAGAGACUGGUUUUUGAUACUGAUUCUGCAGCCUGGUACCAUGUUUGAGAUACAAUGGACACUGUAUUUCUGAAGAACUUAAUUGUGGAAAAGAAGGUUGAGAGAUAAGUUUCAACUCCUCUACCCUGCCUUGCCUGAGGAUAUACCCCUACAUGCCUGCAACCAUCUUGUCUGGCACUCUCCUCUCUUUUAUCAGAAAUGGGGCAAGGAAUGCAGGAAAAUAAGCACCAGCAGUAAGUGAAUUCAAAGGAACUAAAAACGGUAUCCCCAGAAGAAAGAUGACAAGGGAGAUUUCUUCACACUAGAGAGAACACUGCCUAUUCUUCACAAGCAUGAAGUGACGUAGGACAAUUUCUGUUUCAAAAGGCAUGUAACAAUCUCAGUACAGUUGGCCUGUGGAAUGCCACGCUAAAGCAGCUGUGGAGGUUUGGGAUUGGGGCUGACCAGGGCCUGACCAAGUGAGACCAAGUCACCUCUCACAGGAGCCUGCAUUUAUCUACAUUUGUCCAUCUAGACAUACCUACACAAAAGAAACUGCAAGAUUGGACUGCGAUGGAAACCAGGGUUAAAACCUGUUUCACUUUUACUUUUUAUCUUCACAUGUAAAAAUUAAAAGCCUGAAUUUCAGUGUUAAUUGCUGACAAACUAUGAAGCUGUUUUGCUUUAUGUACCUAAAGUCCUUGCAUCCAAAAUUUCCAGUGCAGGGAUUUACGGAUGUGCAGAGUCCCUGACAAAUCAGCUCCUACGUGACAAGAUGUGCCUUUAAAGCUCUACACUCAAAAUCACUUACGUUCCUUUGCCUCCCAUUCACUGUCUCCUGAACAUCACAAAAAGACUGUGAUAUGUCUGCUGAAGGACUUAUCAGUACUGUUGUAAAACAUGCUGGAAACAAAAUGAAAGAAAAAUUCUUGAUAGCAAGGGGACAGUUUUGCAAGUGUGGAAAACAUUAUCUCACUUUUCUGAAGUUCCUGUUUUCAUAAAUGAAAUUGUUUCUCCUCUAUACUGUUCAGAAAGGCACUCUCUACUGACUGCUCUAACAAUCAUUAAAAAUGUGGGUAGUAGAGUGGUUUUCCCCAGUUCUUCCUUCCUUAUCAGUUUGGACUUUUGAGUUCUGUAAGUCCUAUACAUACUAGCAUAUGGAUACAUAUCCAUAUGAGCAAAUGGAUAGUGUAUGAGCACUAAAGCGAGGAAACCAAGCUACAGAAAACAAUUUCUGUAUUUAAAAGACUUUUUUGAGAGACAAUCCUAGAAAUUUAAAGAUUAGCUUUAAGUACUUCUCAUUAGAGUGCAGCAAGGAUUUGGGGGGUUUCCACCAUAAAGACUUCCCAAAGCUCUUUGUGAAAAAUCAAGGGAGAGCUCCGAUGCAAAUUAACUCAGCAACUUGGAUACUUCUCUGUUCUGUUUCUAAGAACUCACACCCAAUUACCUACAUCCCAGAAAACAUUUUAACUACUGAACAUUCACAUAGCCUAGAAUGCUCUUUUCCUUUUGGCUAUUAGCUAAAAGACUUCAACAAAAGCAAAUGAAUAUACAGAACUGCCGCAUACAGUAAGGCAAUAUUUUAGAACGAAAAACUAUCGUAGCUAUAAAUCCCAAAUCAGUUCUCCUUUAUGAUCCUGUGUAGUUCUCAGAUUUCUGUUAUUUUGGGGAUGCAUCGUCAGCUAAGCUGCUCCUAGGUAGUUUAGCAACUGUGUGCCAUUAAAGAGAGAAAUCAUGGAAAACAGAGAUGCAGAUUAAAAGACCACAUUAGAUAUAAAUAAAUAAUAGUGAAUUUCAAUGUAUACCAGCUCUUGGAUGGAAGAAGUGGAAGUGGUGAUAGCAUACUGAGAAAAUCAAUUGUUAACAUGUCUACAAAUGUCCCAUAUAUUUUUCAGGUAUUCUUUCAAGGCAUUACACUGUGCUAAUUUGUUCCUAGAAAACUAGGUAAUUAAUACAUUUGUUUUAUUGUUAUUGAUAUAUAUUGCGCCAUCUUAGUUGCCUUCACUAAGAUUUAUUUCUCCUUUACAAGGAGAGCUAUUUUCUGAACAGUAUCACAACCAAGUUCUCAUCUAGCCAAAUGGAGUCACAGUGUUUUUAUGGAGGGAAGAAAACCUCUUUAUCAGGGACCAGAGUCCCUCAUCAGAACGGAUCCAUUGAGGUUUUCCACUGGUUCAGAGUUACUUAGGAGGAUGAAAGGAAGAAAAUGUUUGGCAGGCUGUAAAACUUAAAACCACAAACAGCUAUUUAGACCUGGAGCUCAUGAAUCUAGUAGAGCUGAUAAGAAUUUAAAUAUCUUCUCUCAUAAAUUUAUACCAGAGUAACAAUAUAUUCAGUGUCUCCAUUAAAACAGGAUGAAAUAAUACGGAGAACACAUACUUUGCUUCAGUGUACUUUCCUUCUAGUUAUGAAGCCAAAAAAUGUUUUUGUUACUUGGUCCACUCCUGGAAGAAAAACGCACCAAAAAUAACAACACAAAGAAGGACUCUUUCAGCUGUAAACUUGUUAUCUGUGUUUGAUGUGUUCAUUAAAAGCUAUUCAUUAUAUUGCUCCAAAUCCCCAUGGUUUCAACCAUUCUGAGCAAUUCCUAAACGGCAGAAUGAAUUGUCACUAUGUAUCAUUCUCCAUGCACUUCCUUCCAAAAUUCUAGAUUUCAAAGUUUGAUUUUGUAAAAUCUGCAAGAAAGAUACCGUGAGAGGAAAAGGAUAUCUUGAAGAACACGCUAUAAGAAUCCCAAGGCCUCUUUAAAAGUGAAUGGCCAGUCUCCCAGAAGGAUGAAAGAGUACAUUUGAUGGUGGAUGUUCUGUUUAUCAUAUGAAAAAACCCUACUCCUCCUCUGAGACUUCACAAGCUGGAAAUGCAGUUUCUCUGCUGUCUGUUACACUUGGGUACUUCUGCUUAAAUUAUCCAUUGCAUAGAUUCCUUCUUGUCUUAACUUGAAGCUUGUCACAUUAGGACGUGAUGGAACACUAAUGCAAGCAAUUUUUAUCUAACAGAUACAAACAGUAUUGACUACUAUCUUCCUAAACUUCCUUUCCCGUUGGCUUAACAUAAACAUAUCCAGUUAAAACACCUAGGAAGUCAUAGAUACAAAAUACAUUUCUGAAGUGAAUAUAAUGACCGUUUGCAUUCCCAGAUACCAAAAGCAAAAAGGAUAUUGCAAUCUCACAAUAUUAAUAUCCACAUAAAAUAGGUCACUGAAUCUAAUGCAGAAAAUCUUGCAUUUAGGGUUUGUGCAACUCACUCAACUCCUGUCACUGGAUGGGAAACAGGAAUCAUUAUACUGAUAAUGCAGGACAGCACUGAUUCUCGGUAAACAGAUGUGGAUCAGCUAGCAAAGAUUCCUUUGUGUUAGUCAGGAUGGCUAAGUGAAAAAUUACACAUUUUGUUUUGCCACAGCAUAGGACAGCAGUUAUGUCUUAGAACCCUGUGGAUGCGAAUAAAGACAGAUUUCCUCUUGCAGCUAUUAUAAAAACGUGCUCCUCUAGGCAAGUGAGGCUUAUGAAGUUCUGAGGCAUCUCACACUGGUGAAAACAUUCCAACCUCAACCUCAGCCUCAACGAUAUCCCCAGCUCAGUCACACAGCUUGCCUGCUAAAUAAGACCCAAGAAAAUUGUGGUGAUCCCAGCCUGAGAAUGCUAAAAAGGAGGAAGAUGAAAAUUAUUGCAUUAAAGCGUGUAUGCAUCAAAGUGCUGUCUAUUGACUUUCAUUUUACAAAAAGACCAUUGGAAAGCAUGUCAUGUAAAGGUACUUUCGUAUAAACACGGUACUCUUUCUAAUCCUUCUGCGUUGCCAAAUCACAAUAAAAAGCUGUGUUAAUGAAACAGAAUAAUUAAAAUCAUAGCAUUAGCAUUUUUUCCCCUAAAAAAAAUAUCAGAUUAUCACAGUACUUCCUUAGUUUAUGUGUUUCAAUUAGACCAGUAUUUCAAUGUGAAUUUG